GAUGAACGCUGGCGGCGUGCCUAAUACAUGCAAGUCGAGCGAACAGACGAGGAGCUUUUUCCCCUGACGUUAGCGGCGGACGGGUGAGUAACACGUGGAUAACCUACUUAUAAGACUGGGAUAACUUCGGGAAACCGGAGCUAAUACCGGAUAAUAUAUUGAACCGCAUGGAUCAAUAGUGAAAGACGGUUUGGCUGUUACUUAUAGACGGUUCCGCGCCGCAUUAGCUAGUUGGUAAGGUAACGGCUUACCAAGGCAACGAUGCGUAGCCGACCUGAGAGGGUGAUCGGCCACACUGGAACUGAGACACGGUCCAGACUCCUACGGGAGGCAGCAGUAGGGAAUCUUCCGCAAUGGGCGAAAGCCUGACGGAGCAACGCCGCGUGAGUGAUGAAGGUCUUCGGAUCGUAAAGCUCUGUUAUUAGGGAAGAACAAAUGUGUAAGUAACUAUGCACGUCUUGACGGUACCUAAUCAGAAAGCCACGGCUAACUACGUG
rnacentral:rRNA from 1 species